rnacentral:rRNA from 1 species
UGGGGAAUAUUGGACAAUGGGCGCAAGCCUGAUCCAGCAAUGCCGCGUGUGUGAAGGAGGCCUUCGGGUUGUAAAGCACUUUAAGCAGGGAAGAAAAAACUCGGUCCAAUACAUCGAGUCUUGACGGUACCUGAAGAAUAAGCACCGGCUAACUCUGUGCCAGCAGCCGCGGUAAUACAGAGGGUGCUAGCGUUAAUCGGAUUUACUGGGCGUAAAGCGUGUGUAGGUGGUUGUUCAAGUCAGUUGUGAAAUCCCUGGGCUUAACCUGGGAACUGCUUCUGAGACUGAACGACUAGAGUACGGUAGAGGGUGGUGGAAUUUCCGGUGUAGCGGUGAAAUGCGUAGAUAUCGGAAGGAACAUCAAUGGCGAAGGCAGCCACCUGGGCCUGUACUGACACUGAGACACGAAAGCGUGGGGGUCAAACAGGAUUAGAUACCCUAGUAGUCCACGCCGUAAACGAUGAGAACUUGACGUCGGUUUGCUCUGCAAGUCGGUGUCGUAGCUAACGCGAUAAGUUCUCCGCCUGGGGAGUACGGCCGCAAGGUUGAAACUUAAAUGAAUUGACGGGGUCAUAGCUGUUUCCUG